CGAAGGGUGACAGUAUCGCAGAACCAGCAGACGCAUUCGAAACCAGUGUGAAUCUCGUCGCUCGUGUGGCCAACAGCAGAAUUUUACGUCUUUUUCAUGGCAGAUUGAAGGAUUUGUUGAGAAGUACAAGAAAAUGAAAGACAGGGCAGCUCUUUUGAAAGGCAGUUUACAUAAGAAAGUGAUGACCUUUGAAAGAUGGUGGUGUGUUUUAACAGAUGAACUUGAUCUCUGCAUUCAGAGAUCUGUGGAGAACAAGUCCUUUGAAGCUGAAAGCUCACCUUAGAACAUAUAGGCUGCCCGCUGUGGCCGAGCGGUUCUAGGCGCUUCAGUCCGGAACCACGCAGCUGCUAUGGUCGCAGGUUCGAAUCCUGCCUCAGGCGUGGAUGUGUGUGAUGUCCUUAGGUUAGUUAGGCUUAAGUAGUUCUAAGUCUGGGGUCUGAUGACUUCAGAUGUCAAGUCCCAUAGUGCUUAGAGCCAUUUGAACCAUUUUUGAACAUGCAGUUAGCAAUUCAUUGUGAAGUAAAUUUGCAGAUUUGUUCCACAAACUUGAACCAUUUAGUUACGUAAAAGGCUUCAGUAAGGUCACAAAAUAUACCAGCAGGAUUGUUUUGGUUGUUUUUAGUUCUGAUAGGUUUUCAUUCAUAAGGGUAUAUGGUGGCUGCUACAUGUGAAACUCAAAAGUAUUUAGCAAAUUUUGUUUGAGUUAAGGACUGAUUAUGAAUACGGUUCAUGGUUAAUUGUAUCAACCUUUCACAAGAUUUUACUAAUCUGCUAGAAACACUGUCAUGGAAAAAUAUUGCUGCUUUUAGCAACUUGAUGGUAUUUUUA